rnacentral:rRNA from 1 species
CAGUAGCCACGGGAAUACGUAAGGGGCGAGCGUUGUUCGGAAUUAUUGGGCGUAAAGGGCAUGUAGGCGGCUAUGUAAGCCUGAUGUGAGAUCCUGGGGCUUAACCCUAGAAUAGCAUUGGGUACUGUGUAGCUUGAAUUACGGAAGGGAAACUGGAAUUCCAAGUGUAGGGGUGGAAUCUGUAGAUAUUUGGAAGAACACCGGUGGCGAAGGCGGGUUUCUGGCCGAUAAUUGACGUUGAGAUGCGAAAGUGUGGGGAUCGAACAGGAUUAGAUACCCCAGUAGUCCCUGUCUCUUAUAA